rnacentral:rRNA from 1 species
GAUGAACGCUGGCGGCGUGCCUAAUACAUGCAAGUCGAGCGAACAGACGAGGAGCUUGCUCCUCUGACGUUAGCGGCGGACGGGUGAGUAACACGUGGAUAACCUACCUAUAAGACUGGGAUAACUUCGGGAAACCGGAGAUAAUACUGGAUAAUAUAUUGAACCGCAUGGUUCAAUAGUGAAAGACGGUUUUGCUGUCACUUAUAGAUGGAUCCGCGCCGCAUUAGCUAGUUGGUAAGGUAACGGCUUACCAAGGCGACGAUGCGUAGCCGACCUGAGAGGGUGAUCGGCCACACUGGAACUGAGACACGGUCCAGACUCCUACGGGAGGCAGCAGUAGGGAAUCUUCCGCAAUGGGCGAAAGCCUGACGGAGCAACGCCGCGUGAGUGAUGAAGGUCUUCGGAUCGUAAAACUCUGUUAUUAGGGAAGAACAAAUGUGUAAGUAACUAUGCACGUCUUGACGGUACCUAAUCAGAAAGCCACGGCUAACUACGUG